AUCCAUCUGUCGAGUCCCGAAUAGGACGAAACGCGUGUCUUGGCU
rnacentral:hammerhead_ribozyme from 1 species